rnacentral:tRNA from 1 species
GCUCCCAUCGUCUAGUGGUCUAGGACGCCGCCCUCUCACGGCGGAAACAGGGGUUCGACUCCCCUUGGGAGUACCA